rnacentral:rRNA from 1 species
AUUGAACGCUGGCGGCAUGCCUUACACAUGCAAGUCGAACGGUAACAGGUUAAGCUGACGAGUGGCGAACGGGUGAGUAAUGUAUCGGAACGUGCCCAGUCGUGGGGGAUAACUGCUCGAAAGAGCAGCUAAUACCGCAUACGACCUGAGGGUGAAAGCGGGGGAUCGCAAGACCUCGCGCGAUUGGAGCGGCCGAUAUCAGAUUAGGUAGUUGGUGAGGUAAAGGCUCACCAAGCCGACGAUCUGUAGCUGGUCUGAGAGGACGACCAGCCACACUGGGACUGAGACACGGCCCAGACUCCUACGGGAGGCAGCAGUGGGGAAUUUUGGACAAUGGGCGCAAGCCUGAUCCAGCCAUGCCGCGUGCGGGAUGAAGGCCUUCGGGUUGUAAACCGCUUUUGUCAGGGAAGAAAAGGUUCUGGCUAAUACCUGGGACUCAUGACGGUACCUGAAGAAUAAGCACCGGCUAACUACGUG